rnacentral:tRNA from 1 species
GCCGAGGUGGCGGAAUUGGUAGACGCGCUGGCUUCAGGUGCCAGUGGGGGCAACCCCGUGUAGGUUCAAGUCCUAUCCUCGGCACCA